rnacentral:sRNA from 1 species
CACCGCCUGGGGAGUACGACCGCAAGGUUAAAACUCAAAUGAAUUGACGGGGACCCGCACAAGUAGUGGAGCAUGUGGUUUAAUUCGAAGAUACGCGCAGAACCUUACCAACACUUGACAUGUUCGUCGCGACUUUAAGAGAUUAAAGUUUUCGGUUCGGCCGGACGAAACACAGGUGCUGCAUGGCUGUCGUCAGCUCGUGUCGUGAGAUGUUGGGUUAAGUCCCGCAACGAGCGCAACCCUCACUUUUAGUUGCCAUCAUUAAGUUGGGCACUCUGAAAGAACUGCCAGUGAUAAGCUGGAGGAAGGUGGGGAUGACGUCAAGUCCUCAUGGCCCUUACGUGUUGGGCUACACACGUGCUACAAUGAUAUUUACAACAGGAAGCAAAACGGCAACGUUAAGCAAAUCCUUAAAAAAUAUCUCAGUUCGGAUUGCACUCUGCAACUCGAGUGCAUGAAGCUGGAAUUACUAGUAAUCGUGGAUCAGCGUGCCACGGUGAAUGCGUUCCCGGGUCUUGUACACACCGCCCGUCACACCAUGGGAGUUGGUUCUACCUUAAGGCAAGGUUUAAAACCCUUGACCACGGUAUAGUCAGCGACUGGGGUGAAGUCGUAACAAGGUAGCCGUAGGGGAACCUGCGGCUGGAUUACCUCCUUUCUAAGGAUGAAUGAAAGUAAAAUUUCAUUCUAAAUAAUAUACAGGUAAUGUUGACCGUCCUCAUUUCUCUUCUUAAAACAGUGUUUCUCUUGCAUGGGGGCCGGUAGCUCAGUUGGUUAGAGCACACCCUUGAUAAGGGUGGGGUCGAAAGUUCGAGUCUUUCUCGGCCCACCAAUUAAGGAUCAUGGGGGAUUAGCUCAGCUGGGAGAGCGCCUGAUUUGCAUUCAGGAGGUCAGCGGUUCGAUCCCGCUAUCCUCCACCAAACACUUAGUUAUAAAAAUCGUAAAUAUACAAUAAUAAUUAAUAUCAAUAUCUAUAUCCGAACAUUAAUGAUGUUAUUAUUUAAUGUUCAAAAUAAAAAUUUGAUUCAACACAGAAUUUUUUUCUG